GACCUUACCAAGGCUUGCCAUGGACCGGACCCCGCCAGAAAGGUGGUUUCCCCUUUGGGGCCGGUUCACAGGUGGUGCAUGGUUGUCGUCAGCUCGUGUCGUGAGAUGUUGGGUUAAGUCCCGCAACGAGCGCAACCCUCGUUCUAUGUUGCCAGCACGUGAUGGUGGGGACUCAUAGGAGACUGCCGGGGUCAACUCGGAGGAAGGUGGGGACGACGUCAAAUCAUCAUGCCCCUUAUGUCUUGGGCUUCACGCAUGCUACAAUGGCCGGUACAAAGGGUUGCGAUACUGUGAGGUGGAGCUAAUCCCAAAAAGCCGGUCUCAGUUCGGAUUGGGGUCUGCAACUCGUAACCAUGAAGUCGGAGUCCCUAGUAAUCGCAGAUCAG
rnacentral:rRNA from 1 species